UUCUUUCAUCAUCCUCAUCUGCCCUCCCUAAAUUCAAUCAUCCUCAUCAUUCAAUCCCCAGAUCUGCGACUCACGCAAAUGUUUGAGUUCAAUUUUGAUUAACUCGAGUAGUAAUGGCGUGGUAUAUUGACCGAGGAUGGAUGUAUGAAAAGACCGAUAGUAAUGGAUUUCUUAAUUCUGAAUACUGUGACAAUGUGGAAUUGUUUUUGGACUUCGCAUUUUCUAAAGAAGAAGUGGUUGAUACAAGGGUGAAU
rnacentral:lncRNA from 1 species